UCCGUAGGUGAACCUGCUGAAGGAUCAUUAGUGAAUUGAGCUGGCUUCGGCCGCUCUGAUCUAUACACACCUGUGAACUGUUGGCCUUCGGGUCUUUAAAUACAACUGUGACGAACGUAAAUUAUUAUAACAAAUAAAACUUUUAACAACGGAUCUCUUGGCUCUCGCAUCGAUGAAGAACGCAGCGAAAUGCGAUAAGUAAUGUGAAUUGCAGAAUUCAGUGAAUCAUCGAAUCUUUGAACGCACCUUGCGCCCGUUGGUAUUCCGACGGGCAUGCCUGUUUGAGUGUCGUGAACAACCUCAACCUUGAUUGGUUUUACCAUCAAGGCUUGGACUUGGGUGUUGCUGCUGCAAAGUGGCUCGCCUUAAAUCUAUUAGCUGGACUUGUCUAUGACUUGGUUCGACUCGAUGUAAUAAGUAUUCAUCGGGGACAGGGUAACACCUGGCCAAGGCUUGAUGCCGUCUGCUUCUAAUCAUGUUCUCACUAUGAGACGCUACUUUACUGUGUGGCCUCAAAUCAGGUAGGAUUACCCGCUGAACUUAAGCAUAUCAAUAAGCGGAGGAAAAGAAACUAACAAGGAUUCCCCUAGUAACGGCGAGUGAAGCGGGAUGAGCUCAAAUUUGUAAUCUGGUGGGCUCAGUUCAUCCGAAUUGUAAUCUAUAGAAAAGUUUUCCGCGCUGGACCGUGUCUAAGUCCCUUGGAACAGGGUGUCAGAGAGGGUGAGAAUCCCGUGCUUGAUACGACCACCAGUGCUAUGUGAUACUUUUUCAACGAGUCGAGUUGUUUGGAAUGCAGCUCAAAAGGGGUGGUAAAUUCCAUCUAAAGCUAAAUAUUGGCGAGAGACCGAUAGCGAACAAGUACCGUGAGGGAAAGAUGAAAAGCAUUUUGAAAGAGAGUUAAACAGUACGUGAAAUUGUUAAAAGGGAAACGCUUGAAGU
rnacentral:sRNA from 1 species